CCUGCCCCAGCUCGUGUUGCAGGCGUGGCUGCAGUGCCGCGUUUGUGUCAUUCGGUGGCAGACAGCAACAGGCGAUGUCUUCCCUGGUGCUCUGAGCCCUGUGAGCUCUCAGGAUUGCUCAACAACCUGACACU
ensembl:snoRNA